UACGAAGGGGGCUAGCGUUGCUCGGAAUCACUGGGCGUAAAGGGUGCGUAGGCGGGUCUUUUAAGUCAGGGGUGAAAUCCUGGAGCUCAACUCCAGAACUGCCUUUGAUACUGAAGAUCUUGAGUUCGGGAGAGGUGAGUGGAACUGCGAGUGUAGAGGUGAAAUUCGUAGAUAUUCGCAAGAACACCAGUGGCGAAGGCGGCUCACUGGCCCGAUACUGACGCUGAGGCACGAAAGCGUG
rnacentral:rRNA from 1 species